rnacentral:rRNA from 1 species
AACCGGCGAUACCCGAAUGGGGAAACCCAGUGUGUUUCGACACACUAUCAUGUCAUGAAUACAUAGUGGCAUGAGGCGAACCGGGGGAACUGAAACAUCUAAGUACCCCGAGGAAAAGAAAUCAACCGAGAUUCCCCCAGUAGCGGCGAGCGAACGGGGAGGAGCCCAGAACCUGAAUCGGCUUGUGUGUUAGUGGAAGCGUCUGGAAAGUCGCGCAGCAAAGGGUGAUAGCCCCGUACACUAAAAUGCACAGGUCGUGAGUUCGAUGAGUAGGGCGGGACACGUGACAUCCUGUCUGAAUAUGGGGGGACCAUCCUCCAAGGCUAAAUACUCCUGACUGACCGAUAGUGAACCAGUACCGUGAGGGAAAGGCGAAAAGAACCCCGGCGAGGGGAGUGAAAUAGAACCUGAAACCGUGUACGUACAAGCAGUGGGAGCACCUUCGUGGUGUGACUGCGUACCUUUUGUAUAAUGGGUCAGCGACUUAUAUUUUGUAGCAAGGUUAACCGUAUAGGGGAGCCGUAGGGAAACCGAGUCUUAACUGGGCGAAUAGUUGCAAGGUAUAGACCCGAAACCCGGUGAUCUAGCCAUGGGCAGGUUGAAGGUUGGGUAACACUAACUGGAGGACCGAACCGACUAAUGUUGAAAAAUUAGCGGAUGACUUGUGGCUGGGGGUGAAAGGCCAAUCAAACCGGGAGAUAGCUGGUUCUCCCCGAAAGCUAUUUAGGUAGCGCCUCGUGAACUCAUCUUCGGGGGUAGAGCACUGUUUCGGCUAGGGGGCCAUCCCGGCUUACCAAACCGAUGCAAACUCCGAAUACCGAAGAAUGUUAUCACGGGAGACACACGGCGGGUGCUAACGUCCGUCGUGAAGAGGGAAACAACCCAGACCGCCAGCUAAGGUCCCAAAGUCAUGGUUAAGUGGGAAACGAUGUGGGAAGGCA